AUGCUUUCCCCGUUCAUAAGCAUGAUGAUUGGGUGUUCACACAUUAGUGUGACAUGUGCCUCCCUUAAAUCUUGUUAUGCAUUUGGCGUAUUAACCACCGGUGU
rnacentral:snoRNA from 1 species